AAUUGGAAAAGUUUUUAAUCGAUUAUAAAUUUCUAAAGAUUUGGAUUUCAGUUAAUGUUAAUCGUGAAUCCGAUUGUCGGAUUUCCUCACUACUAGAAUUCUGUUCAUUUACAUCACGUCAUUUAAAUCAGUUGAGAUUGCACGUGAUGUAAAAAAAUAUUAUAACAUCGGUUUUUGAAAAUCCGAUUUCUAUUUACAUAAUUAACAUCGGUUGUUACUGUUGACCGAUGUCUAUAUUUUGAUUCCAAAAUAUAGAAAAACGCGGAAAGACUAAGUUAAAAACUUUCGGGAACGCGGGAGCAAAAUUUUCAUUCCCCACACACUUUGUUAUUUUUCCUACUUUUACCUUCGCUCACUUUCAUCGUUCUCUCUCUCACUCUUGCCCGAAACCCUAUCCCUCCCCUCCUUCCUCUCCAUCCCUCUCUCCACGGCCACCAUCGCCUUCCUCUCCGCUCACUCCCUCUACUAUCUCUCUCUCUCAUUAACCUCCUCCACCACCUUGCCGGCGCUAUCACCUAUACCCGCAAGCUCUCUCUCCCCUCCUUCCUCUCCAUCCCUCUUUCCAAGGCCAGCAUCGCCUUCCUCUCCGCUCACUCCCGCUACUAUCUCUCUCUCAUUAACCACCUCCACCACCUCGCCGUCGCUAUCACCUGUACCCUCAAGCUCUCUCUCUCUCUCUAGCUCUCGAGCUCUCUAAGAUCUCAGAAGAUUUCAAUCUGGCAACACAUCCUCUACAACAGGUUUUAAUCUGAAUUAAUUGCGUUAAUGGUGAGUCACUACAAUUGAAUUCUUUGUUUUCUGUUUGGGUCCUGAGAAUUUUGGGGGUUUUCAAUUUUGGGGUUUUCAAUUUUAGGGUUUUAAUUAUAGAUGGGUGGAGAUUUGGGGAUACCUGCAUUCCCUGAAGAAGACUGCAUUCUUCAAGAGUGAGAUUCGGAGGAGGUUGUUUGUGAUGGCAGUACUGAUCAAUUGUGAUUAGUCGUGUUGGUUAUUUCAUUCCUCUGCCUGGGUUUGAUAGAAGGUUAAUACCUCAGGAUCAGUUGGGUCAUCCAUGUUGUUUAUUUGCAGAUGAGCUCGGUGAUUUUACAGCUGAGCUUAAAAUGUCCUUGUUCCAGCUUGGAAUCAGUCCUCAAAUUAUAGCAUCGAUUAUAAUCACUCCUCCCUCUCUCUCUCUCGUCUGUGCUUUUCUCUCUUGUCUAAUGAACUAGACGAAUGCAAUAGCUAAACAAGGUUCUUUUGCUAAAGGCUAGGAACCAGUAUACUUGGAAAGGGUUUGGGGCAAUCCCUAAUGCUUUACAGGAGCUAAAGGAAGAGGGUCUGAAAGAGAACUUCAAUACUUUCCAAGGCAAUUUCCAGGGCAAUAAUGAUCCAAAAUGUUCGCAGGGUUCAGAUGAUGAGAAAGGUGAUGAGAGUGGUCAUGCAACCGGGAGUCAGAAUGAGAACCCCAGUGUCAAUCCCAAAUCUUCAGGAAACUCGAAAAAUGCAAAGUUCUCUCGACAUUUAAUUAUUCGCAUUCAGAAGACUGCUUUUAAGGACAACUCACAUGUAGGUGCCUUUGUCACCGAGGAAUCGUUGUUUUCGUUUAGCUCUAUCAUCAAAGGCAGGGAAGAAUUCAGUGCUUCUACCUACUAGGCGCUUCAAAACUAAGGACAUGAUGCAGUCUGAAGAGGAGAUGUUCAUGGCGUCUUUGAUAGGGGUCGUCAAGGGGCCGGGCCGGGCCUUGCCAUAUUUUUAAAUAAUUGCGGGCCGGGCCGGGCCGGGCUUUAUUAAAAAUCAAAGGAUCCAAGCCCGUCCAUAUAAAGCGGGCCUUGCGGGCU